GUUAUGGCUGAACUUUAAAAAGGAACCUGGGCCAUGAUUGCUAUCUUAAUUUACAUCAAUUAUGAUGGUUCUGAUUAGACUCUGUGGUUCUGGCUGACCGUCGCUGACUGAUCACGUGAUGCUAACAGGAUAUUUGCUCGGUUAACUGCCGUAUGUUCACAUACCGAUACAACUAUUAGGUUAACGUUACAGUUACCCUCAGUUAUUUUGUUGUAUGUGUUGCUGCGUGGCUAUGACCUCAGGUUACCUCCUUCAGCUGAUCCAGCUCAUGUCGGACCGUCUCGUAUUCUGUCUCCAACUCAUCAAAUCGCUGCUUGAGCUGCUGCUUCUCCUCCAGCACCGCCAGCCCAUACUCAGCUGCCUGGAUCUUCUCAUGGGUCGUCUCACGGAGCUCCCGGACUUCAACGAUGGUCAACCUCGACGAUACUUUUGUCAUUCUCGAGGAGUUUCUUCAGCCUCUUAGUGAAGCUGACAGAGGAAACUUCAGUUGAGAUCAUCGAUUGGAAAAAAAAAGCUACCCCUGCAAGACAUUCAAAUCGAGUGGUUUGACCGGCUUCAGGGAGUUGUCUUCUUGGUGUUGUUGCUAAACCUGCCUGGAGAAUUCACCUGCAGCUGAACAUAAAUGGAAUAUGGACAAGGACUUGUAUCAACACUACAAAUAUUACCAUUUUUAUUCAAUCUGCUUUGGUCUGGGAUGUGGAACAGCACUCUAUAGACCCUUUCGUUCGCUCAUGAUUCCAUUAGUUCUUGCUGUGUUUUUCACCACAGUGUUCGAGGUUGUGGGCAUAAUGUCUGAUAUUCCACCCCAUACUAUAAGAUGUAAAGGUCCUCCCUUUGACAAAAGAGAUGUUUACUGGGGAUUUUGUUUUGCAUUUAUCGUGGCCAUCCUGAACCUCAACUCAUAUCAUGUCUACACACUGUCUUAUGGAUGUGGAGUCAUGGUGUUUGCUCUUAGAGGAGCAGAACGGAAACACAGAUAUCUAAGGAAGCUGAGAACGAGACGGCGCACUGGGUGGUAAAAGGAUUUUACAACCACAGAAUUAACAGGCCGUUAUCUAUGUUUCUACAAGGUCAAAGAGCAGAGUUGUGUUUGAUGAAUGAACUUUAGCAUCACAGAUGCUGAAUUCUACCAGGAAGUCAUGCAUGUCUCCACAGACACGAGCACACAAUUAUAAUCCUGUCAGACAAUUUUAUGAACAGAUCUUCAGUUGGCCAUUUGUAGGUUAAAAAAAAUGUAUAUAGCUAUCUCAGGGAUGUACUGCAAAGAAGUAAUUAAAUUAUGAAACAAGUGAUGCAGAUGUAAGAAUGUAAAAAUGGUAUUAUAAUAAUGUAUGUUGUCAUUAAUCAUGAUUUGUGUUUGUAAUGAAAUCAUACACUGUUUAAAGUAAAAGUGUAAGAACAGAGUCAUGUGUAUGUAUACGGCUUGAACUAUACACUUACACAAAUAUACUUCUAGGGAAAAAGAACAAACCAUUGUAAACACUCAAAGUCAAAUGCAGAGGGCUUUAUUACAUGACAGUAAGGUACAUACAAAAUUUCAAGUAACAAAGAAAGUGUUUGUUCUUGGGCUAACAAGUCAGAUGUAACUCUAGCUUCAUAGUCACAGCUAGCCAUAUUCUCCUGCAGCCCUCCACCUUAUGUAAAAAAAGAUGAUGUCACUGAGCACAUAAUGAUUAGCGUCACACUGCUGGUAUGGUCCAGUUGUACAGCUAGCACAAAUGAACAUUGAGGUGUGUAGGUUGAUGGUAGCUUUAUUAAAUCAAUUACAGAUAAAAUACAGUGCUGAAGAGAAAUUAUACAACCUUUGAAACCAAAAAAGUUAAAAACAUCCGAGGAUGUGAUUUGUGGUUUUGAGUGACUGCUCUUUAUGACCUACCUACAUUUGUUUAAUUUUUUUUUCUCCACUACUUUCUACAAACAAAAACUCAGUUAGCUUAUUUCUGACACUAUUGUCAUGUUAAACUACUAUGCCCCACCCAAGAGCUACAUCAGAACAAUAUAAAAACAUUUCCAGUUGAAGGUAAUCAAAGAGCAAUUAAAAAAACAUAUUAGAGCAUUACAUAGUACUCAUGUUGAACAUGUUAUAAUGUAUUGUUUUGUAUGGUGAGUCAGUUAUGGACACAUUUAGAUAAGUGAACUGAAUUCAUGACAAUGCUGAGUUUAGGCGUGAGGAUGUGUGUUUGAAUGUUUGUUUCUCUGCUCUUGUGUGCGAUGUGAUGGAUGUAUGGAAGAAAGAAAUAAAGGUAAAGGUGGAACUACAUCAAAGUGGACAGCACAAAAUCACAUUACUUCAGUACACACUUAGGGGCAUUCACAGCGAAGAGCUGGGUGUCAUGUGAAUCGAAAACAUACUUGACUGUUUAUCUUCAUCUGCAGGGGUGUGAUCAGAUAGGUGGG